rnacentral:pre_miRNA from 1 species
AAAAACGCCGCUAUAGAACAUGACCUUUAGCAGCGCUUUUUCCACAAACGCCGCUGUAGGACAUGACCUUUAGCGGCGCUUUUCCUAAAAACGCCACUAAAGGUCAUGUUCUUUAGUGCCGUUUUUA